rnacentral:rRNA from 1 species
UCGAAUAAACUAGGUUUAGACUGUUGCUGGCUCUUCGGAGCAUGUGCACGCCUAUUCCGACUUUAUUAACCACCUGUGCACUUUUGUGUAGAUCUGAAUACCUCUCGAGGUUAACUCGGUCAAAGGAACUGCCGUGUAUAAUGCCGGCUUUUCUUUACAUUUCAGGUCUAUGUUUUCAUAUACUCCACAUAAAGUAUCAGAAUGUGAUAGUUAGGCACUUUAUAUGCCUGUAAACAUAAUACAACUUUCAACAACGGAUCUCUUGGCUCUCGCAUCGAUGAAGAACGCAGCGAAAUGCGAUAAGUAAUGUGAAUUGCAGAAUUCAGUGAAUCAUCGAAUCUUUGAACGCACCUUGCGCUCCUUGGUAUUCCGAGGAGCAUGCCUGUUUGAGUGUCGUGAAAUUCUCAACCUUUCAAGCUUUGUUUAAAGCUCGUCAGGCUUGGAUUAUGGGAGCGUGCUGGUUCUAGAUAGUCAGCUCUCCUCAAAUGCAUUAGCAAGAUUAAUCGCUGAAUCACUUUUGAUAUGAUAAUUAUNUAUAUCAUUGAUGAAACGGCGUUUUCCUCUAAGGAANNAUCUGGCUUCUAACUGUCUUUCGAAGACAAAUUUUGAAUCAUUUGACCUCAAAUCAGGUAGGACUACCCGCUGA